AGUGAACGCUGGCGGCAGGCCUAACACAUGCAAGUCGAACGGCAGCACAGUAAGAGCUUGCUCCUACGGGUGGCGAGUGGCGGACGGGUGAGGAAUACAUCGGAAUCUUCUUUUUCGUGGGGGAUAACGUAGGGCAACUUCUGCUAAUACCGCAUACGUCCUACGGGUGAAAGCAGGGGAUCUUCCGACCUUGGGUGAAUGAAUGAGCUGAUGUCGGAUUAGCUAGUUGGCGGGGUAAAGGCCCGCCAAGGCGACGCUCCGUAGCUGGUCUGAGAGGAUGAUCAGCCACACUGGAACUGAGACACGGUCCAGACUCCUACGGGAGGCAGCAGUGGGGAAUAUUGGACAAUGGGCGGAAGCCUGAUCCAGCCAUGCCGCGUGGGUGAAGAAGGCCUUCGGGUUGUAAAGCCCUUUUGUUGGGGAAGAAAAGCUGCAGGAGAAACCCCCGCUGUUCUGACGGUACCUAAAGAAUAAGCACCGGCUAACUACGUG
rnacentral:rRNA from 1 species